CAUGACGCACGCGAGUUUCGAUUGCUGUUUUCACUAUGAUAACGGCCGUAGAUAUCUAUGAUAUUGCAGGAAAAAUAAUAUUCUACUUUCAUUCAAAGUAUAGAUUUUUUGAAAACGACCAUUUGCUUUGUUUGUAAUGGUUUUGAAAAUGAUUCAAUUGUCGUAGGAGUGAACGGCAGAUAACAAAAUAUGUCAGGCAAAACAUGUGUCUGGUUAUGUGAACAGACAGGAUUUAGAAAGUGAAGUGGGAGAUAGUACUGCAAUGAUCUUUGUGGGUAAAACUGAAUUUCAGGAUGUACUGUUCUGUUUACAACAUAGGUACGAUAAUGCUCACAAAACUCUUUUGUGUACAAAAUUUCAGCAGCUAAAUACACCCUUUCAAUUGAUGAGUUUAAAACAUGGAUGGAUUUAAUGGUUGAAAAUGUUGCUCAUGGAGCUAUAUGAAAGUGAAAAUAUUGAAUAAAGCUGGGCAUCCAUUCGCCACACGUAUCAACGAAUGCUAGGUAUUUGACAAAGGUUGCACGGUAGGAAGCCCCUCUGGUCUUGAGGGUAAAAAUUAGCAUUGCCUGUAUGAUUGUUAGUUACUGCAAUCUGCAACGGAAACAUCAUUUACAAUACAUGGAAUAUAUAGUCACAGUUAAAA